AAGGGUCACCUGAUCCAGCCCUAACUAUAUGCUUUAUCAAAAAGGGAAGUUUUAAACAUAGUCUUAAAAGUACAGAGGGUGUCUGUCACCCAAAUCCAAACUGGGAGCUGGUUCCACAGGAGUUAAACACAAGUACAGCUCAGUCAGAGAGCGGCUGACACGAUGCUAUAAAGUCUUUAAGAUAAGAAUUUCCACAUGCUAAGAAGCCACCCAGAGACCCUUUGCUGCAGUUAGUCUCCCUCCAGAAGGCGUCUGGCUGCUUGAUGCAGCUCUGGCUGCUGCACUGGGAAAGACCAACGAGGAGGUGGAAAAGUCAAAGCCUGAAAAGGCCAGCAGUGAAGUGUGGGCCACCAUUCUGGCUCUGAUCUGGCUUCAUGGUUUCAAGAUGGAUGCAAAGGACGAGUGGGAGCUUCUGGCUGCAAAGGCUGUAUCAUGGCUCAGUGCGCAAAAAGCACCAUCUGUGACCGAGUGUGUGGAAGCCAGAAAUAUAUUGUUGGGUUGCAGUGUGCAAAAAAACUGCCCUUGGCCUCUGAGGUUUUUAUUAAGCUAAUAACGUCUUUACGAUUCAUGCACAGAAGCAGAUUUACUUCAUCCUUCAUCCACAUUAAUCUUUGCAUCGUCCAACUUUAUUAUCUAAUGUGCCUUAUUUUAUGCUGCAUGUGUCCAAAGUCAGCUUUGUAGGAGGACCAGAGAUUAUUGCUUUUGUAUUCUCAUUUUAAUGUUGCUGUUUGCUUGAAAGCAUCAAAUAUUAAACAAAUAAAAACACACAUGAGUUUGGA